rnacentral:rRNA from 1 species
GACGAACCGUGCGAACGUUGUUCGGAAUCACUGGGCUUAAAGGGCGCGUAGGCGGGCUGCCAAGUCUGGGGUGAAAUCCCACGGCUCAACCGUGGAACUGCCUCGGAUACUGGCGGCCUUGAGGGAGGUAGGGGCAUGCGGAACUAUGGGUGGAGCGGUGAAAUGCGUUGAUAUCCAUAGGAACACCGGUGGCGAAGGCGGCGUCCUGGACCAACACUGACACUGAUGAGCGAAAGCCAGGGGAGCAAACGGG